UAGUGAUAUCUUAUACUUGAGUGCUCCAUUUUUGAACAUUAAUUAAAAAAAAUGUAUAGUAAUUAAAGUGCUGAAUUGGCGGAAAUCAACAUUAUUUGUAAUAAAAUAUUAUACUUUAUCCAAUAGCAAAGUGGUUUAGUGGGCAAUUAAUUAGAGCUACAAAUCAAAAAGCUAUUAGUGUAAUGUUACCUAAAUAACAUUUUUUCAUAAAUUAUUAACUUUUUGUAUCCUGGUCAAUAAAUUAUUAUUUGAGAAAACUCGCUGUCUGCCUUCGAGCGCCUUUAUGAGAAAACUUUGUGGAAAACGAGGUCGCGUUCCCGAAUAAAAUCUCAAACUUCAAUCCCACUUUGGCAAAAAUUUCAAAUGAAAGGCGGAGAGGGCCCGGGCGGCACGUCGAGGAUGUCUACAUAUUUUAUUGACCCCGCACUGUACACACGUGGCGACAACGCUGGGACGCGUCUGAAGAUAUCUAUGGACACAUUAGGGAAAAAACUUGGCAGCUUUGCGACUUUAUUCGAUAAAACUUGUUUCAGUUAUUAAUACUUAUAACUCUGUAUAUAGGUACAAUAGUUUAGCGAGGUAUUUUAUAAUAGCUAAUUGCUCUUACAUGUAUAGAUAGGAGUAGGUAAGUGCUAAAAACUCACAGCUUCUUUAUAAGCAGCAGCUUUAUAAGCUAAAUAAAUGGCGAAGGUGUGGUCAAUAAUGUCUUUAUACAAAGAAGUGUAAUUUGAUAGUGUAUUUACAACACACAAACUAACCGUUCAUCAAUGACAUUUAAACUUGUAUGAUAGGUAGGUACUCGUAAUAACCUCAUAACUAACUCAUAUCAAAUUAUGUACAUUAUAUACCUACUACUUUAUGUUAUGAAAUGAAUUACUGAAACUGUAAAAAAACUGUUGCAUGUCCGGUUAACAGUUAUAUUAGCUAAAAAUAUACCUAGCAAAGUCAAAAUCUAAAUUCGAUUAAGUAGAUGAAUAUUUCCAGCAAAUGAUAUGCGUGUAAUAUGAUACCAGUAGGUGUCUGUCUUAUAACUUUUAAUAAUAUUUAAUAACAUAGUACUGUAAUUAAUUUGUAAUUUAGAUUAUCAUCAUUAAUUUAUACGUACCUACUUAUUCGUAUAGUAAUAAUAUGUUAUAUUUAUAUUAGUGCGUAGUAAUUAUCUACGAAUAUAUAGUAAUAAUUUAACUUUUGUACCCUGUGUCUUUUGUACCUAGUGUAUUCUUUCAGUUUACAAAUGACGCUAUUUUUUACUGUACGAGUUAGCAGAUAAGGACAAAAAUAAAAAAUAAAAAAUCUGAAAUACUACUCCUGAUCAUGCAAAUCUUGACUCGUAGUCCACAUAGCUAUAUAUUCGAACGCAUGCACUAUAUCUUCGUCACAUGGAGGUACGUCUAGAAGUGGCGCAAGCACGUGUUAGGCAUGAUCUGUAACGUUCAUGGGCGUCAUACUCAUCAGCUCACUACGAUUAGGCUGAUUCAGUGCGUGUUGGGUAGUGGCUUGUCUUUGUAACGAUCAUUAUCAAAUGUUAGCGAUAGAUAUAACUAACGACUUAACGUGCUGUCCGAAACUGUCUUGAGCUGAGGAUUUUUUUUGUAUUUCACCCCCUGAAUGAACAAAAAUUUUCCCCAACUCUGGACAGCUACUAAGGAUUUCAAAAAAGGAAAAAAGUCAUAGUCUAACACAGGCCACGAAUCCAGAACUUCACAAUGAAGGUAUAGACAACCAAUUCUAAAAAAUAUUAAAGGGCAAAAGGAUUUGUCCUCGAACGAGUCCUUUCUCCCUCACCCCUUGUGCACCGCGCGCUGUAUUUUACGGCGUAUCAGUCGGUACGGUAUUCCCAAACUGCACUUCAGAGCCCGGCCGCCACAUCCACUGUACCUAAGCAUAUGUAUAAUUCACAAAAAUAUGUACCUACCCACCUAUAGUGACGCACCAACACUUGCAUACAAAAUACUUCAAUGCUUUUUACUUUAAUUCUUUACAAUUUUUGAAGAAAUUUAAGAUUCCAGUCUUUAAUAUUUGUAUUAAAAAUAUAGACCACCCAUAUAUUUUUGACGCUAUGGCGUGGUUUAGAUAUAAGAAUGUCAAAGUAAACCCUCUAUGUGAGUGUGAUUUAGCUAUUUCACAAAAAAGCAUUGCCUCAAAUUUAAGGGAGCAGUGCAAUGCAAUCCACUCGUAUAGGUAUGUGUUGUAAGUGAGUGCUUCAUCAUCAUCGUCAUUAUCAACCCUCAUUUGGCUCACUGCUGAGGUCGAGUCUCCUCUCAAAAUGCUCUCAUUUUAGGGUUAGGCCAAAUAGUCCACCACGCUGGCCCAAUGCGGAUUGGCAGACUUCACAUACCUACACAGAGAAUUAAAAAAAAUCUCUGAUAUGCAGGUUUCCUCACGAUGUUUUUCCUUCACCGUUCGAGACACGCGAUAUUUAAUUGCGGACCGGAUUCGAACCCUCCGGAAUAGCAGGCAGAGGUCAAAUCUACUGGGCUAUCACGGCUCUUGGGUGAAGUGGAGUGAGUGCUUAAACUGAAGUUAUUGUAACACCUACAGAUCUAUUACUAUAACAUUCGGUGAACCUUCUCCUUGUAUAGUUCGAACAAAAAAAAACUAAGUAAAUGCUUGUUAACAUAAUUAAUUUGAUUAAGUGAUAAUUUUACAUUUCCUUUUUUAUUUUUAUAAUAGGUUUAGGUAGUUAAAUAUUAUUGUUUUAGUUACUGUAAAUUAUUGUAAAUAAUGCAUCUAAUUAUUAUUUAAAAAACAUAAAAAUAGUACCUAGAUGAAAUUAGAGAUCAUGUUAUAUGUUGUAAUGAGUUUGAGAUAUCUAUACCUAGUUAUUAGUUUAUUUAGAUGAAGAAGAACUUUGGGUUGGGAAGAACUAACUUUGGGUUACCUUUUGGGCUUAACAUAAAAUAUCAGCAUUCGGCUGGGUACGUACCUACGUAAAUUUGCCAAAAAAGUAACUAGCCAAAGAAUGUGCCCAAUUUAUAUUUGGAGUCAAUAUAAAUAAAGCAAUCUUGACUACUAGUAGUUCACUCAUUUUAUGACAAAAUUUUAUACAAUAACUGAAUCAUAAGUAGGUAACUAUAUAAAACACUAUUCCUAUUUAAAUAUUUUUUGCACAUGUUUUCACAUAUUUACACAGCAUCCUAUAAUUUGAAAUCGAAUCGUAUAGGAAGCAAUAAAUUGAUACGGUUGAUUUUUAUUAUUAUUUGAAAAAACACGGUGUCUAACUAAAGAUAAGUCCUAGCCGAUGUCAAUGUUUACAUUAAUUUUUAAUUCAGCGUUGCGAUUAGAUAGAUUAUUUGUAGCCUAAAGUGCUGUUGGCGUAAGAUUAUACCAAUUUAAAUGUAUAAUUGGCAAUUGAAUAAUCAAUUAAGUAGUUAAAUAUUAAUGUAUUACCCUUAUUUAUUAUAUCUAUUUAUUUAUUAUAUCUUUAAAACAUGUGCAAGCUGGCAAGCAGAUAUUAGACUACAAUGAACUGGUUUUUUGGAAAAAAAUCUGAAUUUGAAAUGUUAGUAGGUAAUUUACUACUCACAACAUAAUUACCUACUAUUUUUUUUUUUCCUUGAGGAGGACUCCUGCCUGUCGACAGAGCAUGUCCGACUUAAUAUAAAUUUAUUCUUUUGACAAUAUGAUGUAAAUUAAUUUUUGAUUCAUUUAUUUUUUAUUUGUAUUUUCUUUUUUUCAAAUUAAUUAAUAUUGUUCUUCUAUUCAUUAUUAAAAGUAAUUUCUGGAAUGACAUAAUAUUUACUGUAAAUGUAAGUAAUAUAAUAUUUUGCAUGCCAAUCGGGCGUGAUACAGAACAGAUUAUAUUUAUUUGUUAAGACCUUGUAAACUGUAUCAGCAAAUAAAGAAUUGUAUUGUAUUGUAUUGUAUUGCAGGACUAAAAUAACCUCCUCUACUCCAAGGGUGGCACGGGACCGCAAUGCAUUACUUCAUGCCCCCCUCUUAAAAUUUUCUCUCUUCUUUUUUUCAUCUUUUUCUCGAACCUCUCUUCUCCUCAUUGUUUCUUUUAUCAUUUUUUUCGCUAUUCAACGCUACUACCUACUAAAUGAUAUUAAGAAAAAUAACUGUUGUCGCUUGCUUACAAACAAAUAUAGUAUUCUAUGAUCCAUCAUAAACCACAUCUUUUCAGAAGGCAUGAAGUAAAAAAAUAAGUUUUAUAUUAUAAAUAAAAAUAAAAAUAUAUCUUAAUUAACAUUCUUAAAAAGAUUUUUAAUAUAGUGAGGUAAAACGUCUUCCAUUAAAAAUUAUGCCUAUAAAAUUAAACUGCUUUUUAUUUUUAACCCAAAUUCCUUUCUCUAUUAAGUAUUACUUGCUUCUUAUUUUCUUAUUAAUGAUGAGCAUUAUUAAUCAUCAACAGUCUAUUUUAAUGACCCACUAGGAAAGGGGAUCUGGAGCUUCGACCCACCACGUUGUGAGUAUGUUUCUAACUAUCAGCGUUAGAUGACAAUAACAAUGACCAUGACCACGUGUUCUCUGAAGUAAGGGUUGUAACUUCCUUACUCCGUGAUUCUACUAAGGUAUCAAAUUGAGAUAUAAAAUAAAUAUCUAUAACUUAGCUUUACGCAGUUCUCGAACCCAGGACCGUAAGCUUAUAAGAUAUUUACCUACCUAAACAGGUUAACCACUGUACCGCCAAGAUAUAAGAUAAAGUUAUUAUCAUAACAAAAAUUACCUUUCCUUACACUACGAAUCGUAUAGGUAAUCGUCCUAUACCUACCUAUUAUAAUUUUAAGAAGCCGUCGGGCCUAUUAAAAAUCAGAUGUUCAGAAUAUUAGAUAAUUUUUCGCGUAACUUUUUAUUUAUUUAUGUAAUAAAUCAUACACU